rnacentral:rRNA from 1 species
GUGCCAGCCGCCGCGGUAAUACGGAGGAUGCGAGCGUUGUUCGGAAUCACUGGGCUUAAAGCGCAUGCAGGCGGAACGGAAGGUGCUUUGUGAAAUCCCCCGGCUCAACCGGGGAAUUGCUGGGCAAACCGCCGUUCUUGAGGCAGGUAGAGGCGACUGGAACCUUUGGUGGAGAGGUGAAAUUCGUAGAUAUCAAAGGGAACGCCGGUGGCGAAAGCGGGUCGCUGGGCCUGUCCUGACGCUCAGAUGCGAAAGCGUAGGUAGCGAACGGGAUUAGAUACCCCUGUAGUCC